rnacentral:rRNA from 1 species
GUUUCAUUUAAAUUUAUUAUAGAAUUUUAUUUUUUAGUUAAAAAGCUAAAAUAAUUUCAAAAGACGAGAAGACCCUAUAAAUCUUGAUUAUUUAAUAAUUUUAAAUUUAUUUAGAUUUUUUUUAUUUUUAAUUAUUAAAUAAUUUUAUUGGGGUGAUAUUAAAAUUUAAUUAACUUUUAAUUUAUACAUUUCAUUUAUUUAUGAAUUUAUGAUCCAUUUAUAAUGAUUAAAAAAUUAAGUUACUUUAGGGAUAACAGCGUAAUUUUUUUGGAGAGUUCUUAUCGAUAAAAAAGUUUGCGACCUCGAUGUUGGAUUAAGAUUCAUAUUUAAAUGUAGAAGUUUAAAUAUAAAGUCUGUUCGACUUUUUAUUCUUACAUGAUCUGAGUUCAAACCGGUGUAAGCCAGGUUGGUUUCUAUCUUUGAAUCAUAAAAAUAUUUUAGUACGAAAGGAAUAAAUAUUUAUUUUACAAAAAUUUAUUUAUGAAU